rnacentral:rRNA from 1 species
GACGAACGCUGGCGGCGUGCUUAACACAUGCAAGUCGAACGGAAAGGCCCUGCUUUUGUGGGGUGCUCGAGUGGCGAACGGGUGAGUAACACGUGAGUAACCUGCCCUUGACUUUGGGAUAACUUCAGGAAACUGGGGCUAAUACCGGAUAGGAGCUCCUGCUGCAUGGUGGGGGUUGGAAAGUUUCGGCGGUUGGGGAUGGACUCGCGGCUUAUCAGCUUGUUGGUGGGGUAGUGGCUUACCAAGGCUUUGACGGGUAGCCGGCCUGAGAGGGUGACCGGCCACAUGAGGACUGAGAUACGGCCCAGACGCCUACGGGAGGCAGCAGUGGGGAAUAUUGCACAAUGGGCGGAAGCCUGAUGCAGCAACGCCGCGUGCGGGAUGACGGCCUUCGGGUUGUAAACCGCUUUCGCCUGUGACGAAGCGUGAGUGACGGUAAUGGGUAAAGAAGCACCGGCUAACUACGUG